GACGAACGCUGGCGGCGUGCUUAACACAUGCAAGUCGAACGGAAAGGCCCUGCUUUUGUGGGGUGCUCGAGUGGCGAACGGGUGAGUAACACGUGAGUAACCUGCCCUUGACUUUGGGAUAACUUCAGGAAACUGGGGCUAAUACCGGAUAGGAGCUCCUGCUGCAUGGUGGGGGUUGGAAAGUUUCGGCGGUAGGGGAUGGACUCGCGGCUUAUCAGCUUGUUGGUGGGGUAGUGGCUUACCAAGGCUUUGACGGGUAGCCGGCCUGAGAGGGUGACCGGCCACAUUGGGACUGAGAUACGGCCCAGACUCGUACGGGGGGCAGCAGGGGGGAAUAUUGCACAGUGGGCGGAAGCCUGAGACAGCGACGCCGCGUGCGGGAUGACGGCCUUCGGGGUAUAAACCGCUUUCGCCUGUGACGAAGCGUGAGUGACGGUAAUGGGUAAAGAAGCACCGGCUAACUACGUG
rnacentral:rRNA from 1 species